rnacentral:lncRNA from 11 species
CUGCAAGACAAGCAAUACCUCUGAAAUUACCUCUUCUAAACAAACCUUAAUGGUACAUGUCCUAUACUGCAGUCUACAGGUCCCCCAGGGAACAAAAGAUCUGGACAUUCAAGCUAAUCAAAAGCUCAUCAGCAUUUCUGUGCCAUUGUUUCCUCAUGGACUUCACCCUCCCAGGGGGCGUUUCUAAGGCUGAUUGGUCC